AAUAAGAAUUUUUUAGAAUGUUAAAUAUCUUCAAAAACAUUUCUUCAUAAUUACUUUGUGUAUAAAAAAACUAAGUAGUGUUCAAUAUGAAUGAUCUUUUGACGGAGUUUACGAGAAAUCUUAAUAAUUUUCUAACUGGACGUGACGGAGAUGACAAGGGAACAUUGAUUAAAGCACAUUCUAGUAACCUGCAGGCGCUCGGCGACUUUAGUUUUCCUAACACUAUCACAGCGUGGCACGAAUAUAUGAAUGAAGAAGCGGACUUAAAUAACAGCAAUUUUCUAACAUGUGUUAAGAAAGAUGCCGCCGAUAUCAUCAACGCAUCAAGCAAAUGGAAGUUAUCUGUUAGAAACGUAAAGUUCAUCAAUGAUCGUGUUCAUUUGUUUAUAGACCGGCGCACUGCUAUACGAGUAUGCUUGGAAUGUUGUACAGCCAAUAAUCACUGGAUUAUUCAGAAAUUAAACAAUAAACAAAAUGUUGCGUGCAUCGAUCCGUCGUGCGAUGGAGCCAGUAUAACCUCACUGCGUGUCAAAAGUUUAGUGCAUGCAAUCAAUAGUCUUGUUGCCAUCAACUCUGGCAAUCUACCUGAAACUUCAAGGAUAGUUGUCACCUCGAAGUCAUCAAACAUGUGCGGCGCAGGGCAAACCGUGCUGUGUGGACCUGUACUCAAUGCAAAUACUAAUGUCAAGGAAAGUAUUUUAAGUGGAGAAGAUUUCAUCAAAUUACGUCAGAAUGAGUUGAUGUUGAUCGCUCACCACAAAUAUGGCCUGAGAGCGGGCACGGGAGACAAUUGGAGGGAUUACAUAGCGCACCUUGGCCACUCAGCUGUCACAUUUGAAUUGCUGCAGAUUCAGCCCAGCUCCGCUGUCAAAAUUAACUUUGAUGUGUCCACUGGAUGUAGCAAAGGUGCGGCAUUUAUACUAUACAACUGCGCCAGAUUGGAAACUAUCAUAAGGACAUUCAAUGAGAGAGUUGUCGAUGGCACGUAUCCACCUCUACCACAAAUUGCAAAUAUUGAUUUCUCACUAUUAACUCAAGAGGAGGAGUGGGCGCUGGUGUUGAGGUACGCGGCGGGGGCGGCGGGCGCGCUGGCGGGGUGCGGGGCGCGCCCCCACACGCUGUGCGCCUUCCUCAGCGCCAUGGCCCGUCUGCUCAGCCAGUACUACAGGAAAACUAGGAUAUUGACGGCGAGUCGUUACUUCUGCUACACUCUUCCGCUUUCAAUCAACGAAACGCUGACAUCGAAAACCCACUACCUUACGAAAUAAAUGCAAGUCGGAAAUGAAGCUAGUCACUAUAAAGUAAAAAGAAGACAGCAUGCAAAUGUAGGGUGUCACAAUAGACCAUACCGACCUCAGCUCUUGAACUGAACUGAACUCUUACACUGUGACACAACGCGCUGACUCCAGACCCGCGUCCAGACCUCGCCCACCGCGCUCGGCGCUAUUGUGUACCUUAACGUGUGUGUGUCGGUGUGUGUGUGUGUACGACCCAAAACCUACUGGUAAUGUCCAUGACGUAUUCAUCGCCAUCAUUGUUGUUCUUUUGCUUCUAUCAGCAACACUUGUUCCCGCGGGAAGGACACCAACCUAAGAGACCCACCAAUCUCUAUUAAAGUUCGGUCGAUGUCUCAUCUUUAUGGCUUCAAGUAACUUACGUUACACAAAGUUUCUGUCACGAUGCGCUUUCACUCGUUCAAACCUAACAUAACGAGAUGUGCCGGAGGUAAGGGCCUCGGAUCCGCGUCAUGCAACAAAUGCGCUCUGAGAGCUCGGUAUUAAAACGUCUCUAAUGUAGCUUUUGCCGCAAUCGCACGGAUUUUCAUAGAUAUCUAGGAAGUUUAUAUAGAUAUUUCGGCGAACGGCUCUAAUCUUAUGUCACCACCCCGCCGCAUAUACGGUAGAUAUGCCGGGACUCGCUCCGCAACCUGAGGCCGUGUCCUACUAGUCAAGUAGUCAUGUUUGCGAAACUAAAGCUUUGCCUCCACAACUGCGCUGCAACACUUACCUUGCACUUGUGUUAGCUCCGGCUCGAAGUAGUGAGAAUCACAUAGGCGUAGUGCAUGUACCAGAGACGACAGAUGCGUCGUCCGGUACGACGGUAAUCCGCUCUUAGCUAUGGAUCAGUGGGUGUUCGGUUUAGCCAAGUGUAGUACACCUUAGUUCUUCUGAACAUAAUGCGCGUCUUUGAGCCACUUCGAACUAUAAUGACUAUUGCUUAGUACCAAAUUUUUUAGUAAAUCUGCUCGACUUCCCACAUUGAAAACAAUACUACUUCUAUAUACUUAUACUGAGCCGCGCUCACAUCUGCUGCCCGUCAUGUUCGCCCGAAUCCGUAUGCUGAUAAUUCUUAAC